rnacentral:lncRNA from 1 species
GGGAUCUGCCGCUCUGUGGUCCAGUUGGUCAUCUGCAGGUGCAGUCUCCAGCAAACGAUCACAAGCUCUUUAAGAUGUGCCUGGGCUUGGGGGGACCUGUCUCGCGGGCUUUUGUGGAACCUUCAAUUCCUGGAUUGUAAAGCAGGGCUGCAGGUCUCCUGGGAUGAGCUCCAGCCAAGAGUGACCUGCUACACAGAAAUG